rnacentral:rRNA from 1 species
UUUCCUUCGGGACUGAUUAUUUUGUGACUGAGUGGCGGACGGGUGAGUAACGCGUGGGUAACCUGCCUUGUACAGGGGGAUAACAGUUGGAAACGGCUGCUAAUACCGCAUAAUGUAUUCUGACCGCAUGAUCGGAAUACCAAAGAUUUAUUGCUGAAAGAUGGCCUCGCGUCUGAUUAGAUAGUUGGUGAGGUAACGGCUCACCAAGUCGACGAUCGGUAGCCGGACUGAGAGGUUGAACGGCCACAUUGGGACUGAGACACGGCCCAGACUCC